CUCAUUCUCUCUUUGUCUGCUGCCGUCCAUGUAACACACAACUUGCUCCUCCUUGCCUUCUGCCAGAAUUGUGAGGCUUCCCCAGCCACUUGGAACUCAUUUGAGCUGAGAUCCUACCUUCCUUUUUAUCAAGAACUUUAACAUCACAGCCAGCUCUUGAUUAUCUGAGCCGGAUAGACUGGUUUGAUGAGCAAGAUAUAGCAGUGACCUGGAUUCUGGAUGGUUCAGAGAAUCACCAGGAAGUCAGGAACAAGAGGUCCUGGGCAGCUGGCACCACAGUGCAGAUCAUGACAUGGAACACAGAGGAAUGGCUGCUGCCAUCUUUGACCAUGGGAUGCCACAUCUCGAAAAACCAACUCUGCUGGUCCCCAGAGCCCGGAUACAGCUACUUGUGCCUCUAUCACUGUGUCCCUGGAAACAGAUGUUGCUGCUAUUACUGGAACUGCCAUAAAAGAUUCUCUGCUGCCUGGCUUUUUUGCUCCCCAAUCUGAGCUUAUGCUAAAUGCCUCACUGUCGCUGCAAGGAGGGGGCCAAUACCCAGGACAGUGAGCACUUGGCCCUUCUUCCAUUUCUACAGUGAAAGAUGGCUCUGACUCCCACCCAAACUCAGAAAGCGGGGAAUUUCCCAAACAUUGGAAAACCUUCAGGUGUGGAGUGCCCUCCCACUAAAAACAUUCCCAUCACUGUCCACUUGUAUCAUUUAGUCCUAGUAUUUUAAAGAAGGUCCCCUUUAGGAAUUGAUUUUGAAUCUUCGUAAAUGAUUUUCCUGCUCCUCUUGAGAUAAUCAUAUGGUUUCUCUUAUUUGACCCAUUGAUAUGUUCUAUAAACAGAUUUACUAAUAUUAAAACAGCUUUGCAUUCUUCAGUAAACCCUAUUUGGCUGUGGUAAAUUAUUCUUUCAAUAUACUGUUGA